UGUGCAUUCCUUGAGCCAACAGUUGGUCUCAAAAAAUCAGUUUUCCCCCUUUGUGUAAACAUACCUUGCUUUUAAAAAAAACAAGAGUUUUUUUCUUUUUCUUUCUUUCUUUUUUUUUGUAAGCACCUUAAAGAAUAUAUUUCUCUUGGAUACUGGUGCUUUAGUUUGGAGACAAGUAGGCACGAGAGAUAGGUAGUGAUUUGGGAGCUGGAGGGCUGGAUCGGGAUGUCAGCUAUAGAAGUUUAGAGGACAGUGGGGCCAUGGGAAAGAGUGGGUGGUAGGACCUCAUAGAGAAGUGGUACCCAACUGUAGCUGUAGGACAUGGCAGCCUUUCAUGGGAAGAGAGGAAUGAAGACGGUGUUCUGAAAUGUGAUGGAGAAAGAUUGCUUUCCAUGUAUCUAAGUGUUGGCCGUUGAGUAAAGCUGUUCAGGAACGGCAAAAUCAUGGAACUGACAUCUGGAAUGGAUGCAAUGUCUGACCUCAUCGUUUCUCCAAAGAAGAGCAGAGUCACCUCAUGGUACCCAGGCUUCCACCGCACUCACUGUACGGGAUACUAAAAUCCAUGCUUCUCGGCUCUGUGCUCAUUCUCACUCCCUAUGACGGAGACAGGUCAGCUGCCUUCUAGCUCUGGAAAGGACUCAAAUACAGUGGCAGAGCAUGUGGCAAUGCUGGAUCAGCGUUCUAAGACCAGGCUUAAUGAGGAUGUGCCUGGCAAAGAAA